rnacentral:rRNA from 1 species
GACGAACGCUGGCGGCGUGCUUAACACAUGCAAGUCGAACGGGCCUUGUCCCCUUUUUUUUGGGGGUGGGGUUAGUGGCGCACGGGUGAGUAACACGUGAGUAACCUGCCCCUCACUUCUGGAUAACCGCUUGAAAGGGUGGCUAAUACGGGGUGUUCUGGCCUGCUCGCAUGGGUGGGUUUGGAAAGAUUCGACCGGUUUUGGUUGUUUUGGUGGGGGAUGGGCUCGCGGCCUAUCAGCUUGUUGGUGGGGUGAUGGCCUGCCAAGGCUUUGACGGGUAGCCGGCCUGAGAGGGUGGGCGGUCACACUGGGACUGAGACACGGCCCAGACUCCUACGGGAGGCAGCAGUGGGGAAUAUUGCACAAUGGGCGCAAGCCUGAUGCAGCGACGCCGCGUGAGGGAUGGAGGCCUUCGGGUUGUGAACCUCUUUCGCCAGUGAAGAAGGUCCUGCUCUUUGUGGUGGGGUUGACGGUAGCUGGGUUAAUGAAGCGCCGGCUAACUACGU